CGUAGGUGGCAAGCGUUGUCCGGAAUUAUUGGGCGUAAAGCGCGCGCAGGCGGUCCUUUAAGUCUGAUGUGAAAGCCCACGGCUCAACCGUGGAGGGUCAUUGGAAACUGGGGGACUUGAGUACAGAAGAGAAGAGUGGAAUUCCACGUGUAGCGGUGAAAUGCGUAGAGAUGUGGAGGAACACCAGUGGCGAAGGCGACUCUUUGGUCUGUAACUGACGCCGAGGCGCGAAAGCGUGGGGAGCAAACAGGAUUAGAUACCCUGGUAGUCCACGCUGUAAACGAUGAGUGCUAAGUGUUAGAGGGUUUCCGCCCUUUAGUGCUGCAGCUAACGCAUUAAGCACUCCGCCUGGGGAGUACGGCCGCAAGGCUG
rnacentral:rRNA from 1 species